rnacentral:lncRNA from 1 species
GGACAGACGUGUUGAAAAAUGGACUAAAUGGGGCUGUGUGAGUUUCCCGGAGCUGCUAUAACAAAUAACCACAAUCUGCAUGGCUUCAAACAACUGAAAUUUACUACUCACUGUUCCAGAGUCCAGCAGUUUAAAAUCAAGGUGAUUGGCUGGGCACAGUGGCUCAGGCCUGUAAUCCCAGCACUUUGGGAGGCUGAGGCAGGCAGAUCACUUGAGGUCAGGAGUUCAAGACCAGCCUUGCCAACAUGAUGAAAUCCCAUCUCUACCAAAAAAUACAAAAAUUAGCUGGGCAUGGUGGCGAGCACCUGUAAUUCCAAAUACUCAGGAGGCUGAGGCACAAGUAUCACUUGAACCUGGAAGGCGGAGGUUGCAUUGAGCUGAGAUCACACCCCUGCACUCCAGCCUGGGCGACAGAGUGAGACUCCAUCUCAAAAUAAAUAAAUUAAUUAAUUAAAUAAAUUAAAUAAAAUCAAAGUGAUGGGCAGGCUCACUCCUCCAGGGGGCUCUGAGGGAGGAUUUGCCCAUCCUCUCUCCUGGCUUCUGGUGGUUCCCAGCCAUUCCUGGUGCUCCUUGGCCUGUAUGCACAUCACUCACCUCAGCAUCCAUCUUCUCAUGGCUUCCCCUCUGUGGGUCUUCUCCUCUUGUCCUCUGAGAAGGACACUUCUCAUUGGAUUGAGGGCCUACCUAGGUCAUCCAGGAAGUUCUUGUCUCAAGAUCCUUAACUCAAUUACAUCUGCAAAGGCCCUUUUUCCACAUAAGGUUACGUUCCUAGGUUGGGGGUAAAUGGAUCUUUUGGAGACCACCAUUCCACCCCCCUCAGGGGGCCAGGGUGGACAGGGGAGGAUCACUUAAGAGAUGCAUGGCAGUGGUGGCCUGGACUGGACAGGAGGAAGCAGAGUCAUGGGCAGGUUUGAGAGGUACCAGGAGGUGGAAUCCAAGCACUUCACCAGUGUUGACAUACACAGAAUUGAGGAAGAUGGAGAUGUUAAGGGUGUCUGUCAGGCAUUGGCUUAAGCAACUGGGUGGAUCAUGAUUUUUUAAAAAAUCUUUAUUUAUCCAAUUCUAUACCACAAAGCUUACCUGUCUCCCCAAACCCAAUUGCCCCAGUUCCUUGGGUUACCUCCAGGGCAAACCCAACUUCUUCAAACCAGGUCUGGUUCUCUACAGAACUCCAGGAAACAUGAGAAGCCCUUCAUGUGAUUGCUAAGUAAUUGCUUUUCAACUAUAAAAGUAAUUAAAAAAUGGCACCAAUUUCCCUAAGUGUAUAAUAUAAUUAAAUCCACUGGCUUGGAAAAUCAUUUGUGAUAAACCGAAACAGCAAAAGAUCAAGCCACUGGGAAUUAGGGAAACGUCUGACAUGAGGACAGAGAGCUCUCUGGGGCCUUUUCCUGGAGGGGCCUUGGUGGGCGUGGAAUGUGGCUGGGAAAGGCAGGGAGAGUGGAGGAUGGGAAAACCAGAUCCCCAGCUGGCUGGGACUGGAUAGGGAAGAGGCGGUGGGAAGCCACCUGCCAGGCCUUGGGCUGUGGGAUGGAGCUCAGGGCCCAGGCCAGGCGGGGUAGAAGUGUUGCCGGUGAGGGUCUUGACUGUAAGUUGCCCAGGUUCUUGGCGUUUUGAACAAAGAAUUGGACAAAAGCCCAGCAAAGCAAAGAAAGAAUGAAGCAACGAAAGAACCAAAGCAGGGAUUUAUUGAAAACAAAAGUACCCUCCACAGUGUGGGAGGGGCCCAACCAGCGGCUCAAGAGCCCAGAUACAGAAUCUUCUCAGAUCCAAAUACCCCCUACAGGUUUCCUAUUGGCCCCCUCAUGUAAAUGAAGUGGUGGCCCGCAAUCAGUGUGAUUGACUGCAGAAAACAACCAAUCAGAGGCUGAAGUGAAGUUACAAAAGUCACACUCCUCUGCAAACACCUGAUUGGCUGCAAAAAGCAACCAAUCAAAGGUUAAGAUGAAGUUACAAAGUUCCACUUCUAUGCAAAGGAAGACUCCGCUCUCAAUCAGUCUGAUUGGUUGCGGACAGCCAAUUUCCCAUCUGCCUGGAGGAAAAGGGAUUUGCAAAAGGAGUAGCCUCUGGUCCUUUUGUUACUUAGGCGUGGAAAGUUAGGGUUUUCUUUUGAGACGGAGUUUUGCUCUUGUCACCCAGGCUGGAGUGCAAUGGCAGGACCUCGGCUCACAGAAACCUCCGACUCCUGGGUUCAAGCUGUUCUCCUGCCUCAGCCUCCCAAGUAGCUGGGAUUACAGGCACCCACCACCAUGCCCAGCUAAUUUUUGUAUUUUUAGUAGAGACGGGGUUUCGCCAUGUUGGCCAGGCUAGUCUGGAACUCCUGACCUCAGGUGACCCACCCUCUUCGGCCUCCCAAAGUGCUGGGAUUACAGGCGUGAGCCACCACGCCUGGCCCGGGUUUUUCUUUCAAUUUAGUUCUAGGAAGUCGGCCUGAAAUUACCUUAGGUUUCCUGCCUCCAGACCCUAUUCUCUUGUCUCAGAAGCACUACCCCAGGAGGUCAAAGGCAGCUCAGACUCAGUCAAAAAGGCAGCUAAGGAAGCAGGAUGGACGGUGGGGCACAAGGAAUGAACAGAAUUGGUUGAAAUCAGUGUCAAGUUGGGCUGCGAAAUUCCGGACAGUUCAGGCAAGCCGUUCAAGACUAAGAUUCGGCCAAAAGGGAAGCAGGGAAGAUGCCCAGGAAGGUUCCUUCUUGCUAGAAGCUUUGCAAAGGCCGCUGGCCACACCCACAACUGCUGGCUGAGAGGCCUGGUGGGCUCACAACUCAGGAAGACCCCACCCACCUGCCCGCCCCCACGAACAGCCCAGGAGCAGGACUGAGCUCAGCACAGUGGAGCUGAUUUACCUGCUGCAGCCUUUCUCCUCUGCCAGAGGUCUUCUGGGGCCACCAGAACCUGGCCAUGCUCACAGAGUGUCCAGCCCUCACUGAGCACAGGCCCUAGCAUGGACCAUGGGAAAAGAGAACUCAAAUAGAAAACUUGGGGUGAAACAUGCAUCUUGUAACGAGGAAGCAACCGUGUUAAUGGGUGCCAUGUACUGCAGAUGAUGGAACAGAAAGACACAGGGAGCCCGAGCCUCUGGGAGCACCACUGAGCUGCUAUGGCAGCCAGGUCUUCCCAUUUCUAGACUUCCUGUUAUAUGAAGAAACAAAAAUUUAGUUAAGGUCCUCCAGUAAUAUUUCUGUUGCAUGCAGUCAACCAUAGUCCCUAAUUCAGUGCACAAUGCCCAAGGUGCACAAAGGAGAAAGGAUAAAAGGACUUCUUAGGAACAUGAUCUUUGAGUUGAUCUUGACAAAUGAAUAGAGUCUAAGAUUUCCCAUGGGCGAAGGCACAGAGGGGCAGCCUCUUAUUCUCCCCGCCUGCCAGGGCUUCGAUACCUGAAUGUGCAGUCAUCGUGUGACACCCACCUUCCAGAACCUCUUACUUUUUCUUGGGCACCUGAAACUAAGAAUCUGGUCUUUGACCAACUAAAUCAAUCAUCACCUUCUCCCAUUCAACAUUCCAACCCCCAGGCUGGGCGCGGUGGGUCACGCCUGUAAUCCCAGCACUUUGGGAGGCCGAGGCGGGCAGAUCACCUGAGGUCAGGGGUUCAAGACCAGCCUGGUCAACAUGAUGAAACCCCAUUUCUACUAAAAAUACAAAAAAAUUAGCCAGGCGUGGUGUUAGGUGCCUGUAAUCCCAGCUACUCAAGAAGCUGAGGCAGGAGAAUCGCUUGAACGCAGAAGGUGGAGUUUGCAGUGAGCUGAGCCUGUGCCACUGCACUCCAGCCUGGGCAACAGAGUGGUAUAAGGAAGUGGGGCCUUUGGGGAAUUAUUAGCUCAUGAGGGUGGUGCUUUCAUGAGGAGGAUCAGUGCCCUUAUAAAAAAGACACUCCAGAGAGCUCCCUUGCCCCUUCUGCCAUGUGAGAACACAGUGAGAAGGUGCCAUCUAUAAACCAGGAAGUGAGCCCUCACCAGACACCAAAUCUUCCAGCACCUUGAUCUUGGACUUCCCAGCCUCCAGAACUGUGUGAAAUAAAUUUCUAUUGUUUAUAAGCCAUCCACUCUACAGUAUUUUUAUUAUAGCAGCCCACAUGGACUAAGACAGGAACCUUCUAGGAGCCUGGCUCUGGGCUCUGUGCCUCACAUUUAUCUCAUUUCACUCUUGCAACCACCCUGAGAUAAGGACAUUUGUCCCCACUUUGCAGGGGCAGAAGGAACUGAGGUGCAAAGAAAUUAGCAACCCAGCCAAGGUCACACAGCUAGUAAGUAAGGUAGGUUGGUGUGGAAUUCAGACCUGCCUGUGUACCUUCAAAGUAUGCUUGCACUCUAGUUCCCCAUUCUGCUAUCAGGAGCCUUGAAUUCAACAUCCAACCCAAACACCACCACCAUGUGUGGCUUAGAUAAAUUAAUUUCACCUCCUUGAGCCUCAGUUUGUCCAUGUCUAAGUUGAGAGAGUUCUGGGGGCUAAAUAGGAGGUCUCAAAGG